rnacentral:rRNA from 1 species
AAUACAUUCCCGGACCUUGCACACACCGCCCGUCAAGCCAUGGAAGCUGGGUGUACCUAAAGUCGGUAACCGUAAGGAGCCGCCUAGGGUAAAACUAGUGACUGGGCU